CUACGGAGGAUGCGAGCGUUAUCCGGAUUUAUUGGGUUUAAAGGGUGCGUAGGCUGUGCGUUAAGUCAGGGGUGAAAUGCCGUCGCUCAACGACGGAGCUGCCCUUGAUACUGGCGUGCUGGAGUACGGAUGCCGUUGGAGGAAUGAGUGGUGUAGUGGUGAAAAGGUUAGAUAUCACUGAGAACACCGAUUGCGAAGGCAUCUGACGAAUCCUACACUGAGGCUGGGGCCCGAAAGGGUGGGGGUAGACCAGGAUUGGAUCCCCUGGUAUUCCCCGCCGUAAACGAGGAUGAUGAACCGUGGGCGAUAGACAGCCGGUGUCCAAGCGAAAGCGAUAAGUGAUCUCCCUGUGGAGUACGGCGGCAACGAUGAAACUCAAAUGUGUUGACGGGG
rnacentral:rRNA from 1 species